rnacentral:rRNA from 1 species
CCUACGGGUGGCUGCAGUUAGGAAUCUUCCGCAAUGGGCGAAAGCCUGACGGAGCGACACUGCUUGGAGGAUGAAGGUUUUCGGAUCGUAAACUCCUGAACGAGGGACGAAUAAUGACGGUACCUCGCUAAUAGCACCGGCUAACUCCGUGCCAGCAGCCGCGGUAAUACGGAGGGUGCGAGCGUUAUCCGGAAUCACUGGGCGUAAAGGGCGCGUAGGCGGUUUGUUAAGUCCGAUGUUAAAGACCGAGGCUCAACCUCGACACGGCGUUGGAU